rnacentral:rRNA from 1 species
AGGGAAUAGAUACCCGGGUAGUCCUAGCCUUAAAACGAUGCUGACUUGGUGUCCCAGGUUUUAAGUCCUGGGGUGCCGGAGCUAAACGCGUUAAAGUCAGCCGCCUGGGGAGUACGGUCGCAAGGCUGAAACUCAAACGGAAUUGACGGGGUACCCGCACAAGUGGUGGAGCAUGUGGUUUAAUUCGACGCAACGCGAAGAACCUUACCUGGGCUAGAAUGCGGUGGAUAAGCCUCAGAGAUGGGGUCGAUCCGGGUUAACCCGGCUCCUGCCUGCAAGGUGCUGCAUGGCUGUCGUCAGCUCGUGUCGUGAGAUGUUGGGUUAAACGUCCCGCAACGAGCGCAACCCGUUACCGUGAGUUACCGAUCAUUCAGUUGGGACUCUCGCGGAACUGCCGGUGAUAAACCCGGUAGGAACGGUGGGGUAUGACGUCAAGUCCUCA